UACAGAGGGGGCAAGCGUUAUUCGGAAUUAUUGGGCGUAAAGGGCGCGUAGGCGGCCUGACAAGUGGAAGGUGAAAUCCCUCGGCUCAACUGAGGAACUGCCCUCCAAACUGUUUGGCUUGAGACCGGGAGAGGUGAGUGGAAUUCCCAGUGUAGCGGUGAAAUGCGUAGAUAUUGGGAGGAACACCAGUGGCGAAGGCGGCUCUCUGGGACGGUACUGACGCUGAGAAGCGAAAGCAUGGGGAGCGAACAGG
rnacentral:rRNA from 1 species